ACACACAUACCUUUACUGGGGGAUAGCGGUGGGAAACUGCCAGUAAUACCCCAUGUCCUCGCGAGGUGGCAUUAUUUUGCGAGGAAAGUUACGGCGGUAAAGGAUUGGUGUGCGUCCGAUUAGCUAGUUGGCGGGGUAACGGCCCCCAAGGCGACGAUCGGUAGGGGGUGUGAGAGCAUGGCCCCCACACGGGUACUGAGACACGGACCCGACUCCUACGGGAGGCAGCAGUAACGAAUAUUGGACAAUGGUCGGAAGACUGAUCCAGCCAUGCCGCGUGAACGGAAGAAGGCGCUCAGCGUCUGUAAACUUCUUCUCUGGAUGGGAAUAAUAACCUCUACGAGAUAGGGGCUUGAAGGUACCAUCAGAAUAAGCAACCCGGCUAUCAUCCAGUCGCCCAAGNAAGCACCGCGGUAAAUCACCGGGCAGGGGCUAGCCGCAGCCGUCAACACAGGGAAUNCACUGGNGCGUNCAAAAAAGGGGGCUNGCAGUCAAAGCGCGNGACCACUCACCAACGCUACACAGCGCCCAGCGGAAAACACNACCCCCCACGACCAGAAAACACAGCGNAGGCCCACCCUUGNGGCCGCCCACAAUAGG
rnacentral:rRNA from 1 species